rnacentral:rRNA from 1 species
UAUCCAACCAUCCCGCGUGACGGACGACGGCCUUCUGGUUGUUAAACUCCUUUGGCAUGGGGAUAAACCUACCCUCGUGAAGGUAGAGGUACGGACUAUACCACUAAGCACCGGCUCCCUCCGUGCCAGCACCCGCGGUCAUACGGAGGGUGCGAGCGUAAUCCGGAUUUAUAGGGUUUGAAGGGUCCGUAGGCGGAUCUGUAAGUCAAAGGUGAAAUCUCACACCUCAACUGUAAAACUGGCAUGGAUACUGAAAGUCUUGAGUGUAGUUGAGGUAACUGGAAUAAGUAUUGUAGCGGUGAAAUGCAUAGAUUUUACUUAGAACACCAAUUGCGAAGGCAAGUUACUACCACAACAACUGACGCUGAUGGACGAAACCGUGGGGAGCGAACAGGAUUAGAUACCCUGGUCCUCCACGCCGUAAACGAUACUAACUCGUUUUUGGAAUGUAAGUUUCAGAGACUAAACGAAAGUGAUAAGUUAGCCACCUGGGGAGUACGAACGCAAUUUGAAACUCAAA